AGCGAACGCUGGCGGCAGGCCUAACACAUGCAAGUCGAACGAACCUUUCGGGGUUAGUGGCGGACGGGUGAGUAACACGUGGGAACGUGCCUUUAGGUUCGGAAUAACUCAGGGAAACUUGUGCUAAUACCGAAUGUGCCCUUCGGGGGAAAGAUUAAUCGCCUUUAGAGCGGCCCGCGUCUGAUUAGCUAGUUGGUUGAGGUAAUGGCUCACCAAGGCGACGAUCAGUAGCUGGUCUGAGAGGAUGAUCAGCCACAUUGGGACUGAGACACGGCCCAAACUCCUACGGGAAGCAGCAGUGGGGAAUCUUGCGCAAUGGGCGAAAGCCUGACGCAGCCAUGCCGCGUGAAUGAUGAAGGUCUUAGGAUUGUAAAAUUCUUUUACCGGGGACGAUAAUGACGGUACCCGGAGAAGAAGCCCCGGCUAACUUCGUG
rnacentral:rRNA from 1 species